rnacentral:rRNA from 1 species
UACGUAGGGGGCAAGCGUUGUCCGGAUUUAUUGGGCGUAAAGAGCGUGUAGGCGGCUAGGUAGGUCCGCUGUGAAAACUUGAGGCUCAACCUCAAGAGGUCGGUGGAAACCAUCUGGCUAGAGUCCGGAAGAGGAGAGUGGAAUUCCCGGUGUAGCGGUGAAAUGCGCAGAUAUCGGGAAGAACACCCGUGGCGAAGGCGGCUCUCUGGGACGGUACUGACGCUGAGACGCGAAAAGCGUGGGGAGCGAACAGG